rnacentral:rRNA from 1 species
GACGAACGCUGGCGGCGUGCCUAAUACAUGCAAGUCGAACGCUUUUUCUUUCACCGGAGCUUGCUCCACCGAAAGAAAAAGAGUGGCGAACGGGUGAGUAACACGUGGGUAACCUGCCCAUCAGAAGGGGAUAACACUUGGAAACAGGUGCUAAUACCGUAUAACACUAUUUUCCGCAUGGAAGAAAGUUGAAAGGCGCUUUUGCGUCACUGAUGGAUGGACCCGCGGUGCAUUAGCUAGUUGGUGAGGUAACGGCUCACCAAGGCAACGAUGCAUAGCCGACCUGAGAGGGUGAUCGGCCACACUGGGACUGAGACACGGCCCAGACUCCUACGGGAGGCAGCAGUAGGGAAUCUUCGGCAAUGGACGAAAGUCUGACCGAGCAACGCCGCGUGAGUGAAGAAGGUUUUCGGAUCGUAAAAACUCUGUUGUUAGAGAAGAAACAAAG